UUCACCUCAGUCCCUUGUCCC
rnacentral:piRNA from 1 species